rnacentral:rRNA from 1 species
UCCAAUUCGGCGAAAAGUCUUAGCACUUUGACCCAAUUAUUCUAAACUCUGGCCUCAAAUCAGGUAGGAUUACCCG